rnacentral:rRNA from 1 species
UGCUGGAGGUAUCAGAAGUGCGAAUGCUGACAUAAGUAACGAUAAAGCGGGUGAAAAGCCCGCUCGCCGGAAGACCAAGGGUUCCUGUCCAACGUUAAUCGGGGCAGGGUGAGUCGACCCCUAAGGCGAGGCCGAAAGGCGUAGUCGAUGGGAAACGGGUUAAUAUUCCCGUACUUGGUGUUACUGCGAAGGGGGGACGGAGAAGGCUAUGUUGGCCGGGCGACGGUUGUCCCGGUUUAAGCGUGUAGGUGUGUUUUCCAGGUAAAUCCGGUUCACUUUAACACUGAGGCGUGACGACGAGGCACUACGGUGCUGAAGCAACAAAUGCCCUGCUUCCAGGAAAAGCCUCUAAGCAUCAGGUAACAUCAAAUCGUACCCCAAACCGACACAGGUGGUCAGGUAGAGAAUACCAAGGCGCUUGAGAGAACUCGGGUGAAGGAACUAGGCAAAAUGGUGCCGUAACUUCGGGAGAAGGCACGCUGACAUGUAGGUGAAGUGAUUUACUCACGGAGCUGAAGUCAGUCGAAGAUACCAGCUGGCUGCAACUGUUUAUUAAAAACACAGCACUGUGCAAACACGAAAGUGGACGUAUACGGUGUGACGCCUGCCCGGUGCCGGAAGGUUAAUUGAUGGGGUCAGCGCAAGCGAAGCUCCUGAUCGAAGCCCCGGUAAACGGCGGCCGUAACUAUAACGGUCCUAAGGUAGCGAAAUUCCUUGUCGGGUAAGUUCCGACCUGCACGAAUGGCGUAAUGAUGGCCAGGCUGUCUCCACCCGAGACUCAGUGAAAUUGAACUCGCUGUGAAGAUGCAGUGUACCCGCGGCAAGACGGAAAGACCCCGUGAACCUUUACUAUAGCUUGACACUGAACAUUGAGCCUUGAUGUGUAGGAUAGGUGGGAGGCUUUGAAGUGUGGACGCCAGUCUGCAUGGAGCCGACCUUGAAAUACCACCCUUUAAUGUUUGAUGUUCUAACGUGGACCCGUAAUCCGGGUUGCGGACAGUGUCUGGUGGGUAGUUUGACUGGGGCGGUCUCCUCCUAAAGAGUAACGGAGGAGCACGAAGGUUGGCUAAUCCUGGUCGGACAUCAGGAGGUUAGUGCAAUGGCAUAAGCCAGCUUGACUGCGAGCGUGACGGCGCGAGCAGGUGCGAAAGCAGGUCAUAGUGAUCCGGUGGUUCUGAAUGGAAGGGCCAUCGCUCAACGGAUAAAAGGUACUCCGGGGAUAACAGGCUGAUACCGCCCAAGAGUUCAUAUCGACGGCGGUGUUUGGCACCUCGAUGUCGGCUCAUCACAUCCUGGGGCUGAAGUAGGUCCCAAGGGUAUGGCUGUUCGCCAUUUAAAGUGGUACGCGAGCUGGGUUUAGAACGUCGUGAGACAGUUCGGUCCCUAUCUGCCGUGGGCGCUGGAGAACUGAGGGGGGCUGCUCCUAGUACGAGAGGACCGGAGUGGACGCAUCACUGGUGUUCGGGUUGUCAUGCCAAUGGCACUGCCCGGUAGCUAAAUGCGGAAGAGAUAAGUGCUGAAAGCAUCUAAGCACGAAACUUGCCCCGAGAUGAGUUCUCCCUGAGACUUAGAGUCUCCUGAAGGAACGUUGAAGACGACGACGUUGAUAGGCCGGGUGUGUAAGCGCAGCGAUGCGUUGAGCUAACCGGUACUAAUGAACCGUGAGGCUUAACCUUACAACGCCGAAG